UCAUUCGUUGUUUCCUUUUUCUUUUUCUUCUUUCUCUUGCCUGUGAGAUCGAUAGAACAAUCAACAUCUUCAAUGACAAUGAUGGACUUGCUUGUUGUUUCCAUGAGCAAUUUCUUAAGCCCUGAGUUAUCCUUAACAGAGGUGAGCUCAAGAUCAUAAAUAUCAUAAUUCAAGUAAUUCGCAAUAGCUGCAAUCAUAGUUGAUUUUCCAGUUCCUGGUGGACCAUAAAGAAGAUAACCGCGCUUCCACGCCUUUCCAACUUUGGAAUAAUAAUCCUUCCCCUUGCUGAACGCAAUGAGAUCGUUGAUUAUUUCCGCUUUCUUC